GAACCUGGCCUUCCUGCUAUCUGUUCUUUUUGAUGGGACAUAAUUGAGCCAGCUCUGGUUACAGAGACAGAGGCUUGGGAAAGUCAAUGGUCAGAAUGAAGGUGACCCUGCAGAAGAAUCCAUCAAAGAAUAGGGUUUCUUUGUGCAUGCAUGCUUUGCGUGGUGGGGGCUGGGUUCAGUUCCCAGGUUUGUGACUGAAUAUCAUUUUCGGCUUCAAUGCCUAGUGCUGACAUGAGUUUCUCCGGAUGGCUUUUCUAUAAAAAGCUUCUUUCCCAGGUCAAUUGCCAGAGAGAAAUCAACAGUGGUACUCCUAAGUGUUUAAUGAAAAUAGCAGCUGCUGCUGGAGUUUCACUGUGAUUCUGAGGAGUGCUGUCACUCAGGGGUCUCCCGAUCCUAUCUAGUGCUGAUCUUCCAUGGAUUUCCCGGAAGACUGAAUAGGCUUAAUUUUGCAACUGCUCUAGAAUACAAGUGUGCUGGUCUCCUGGACGCUUCAUGGGGGAAAAAAAGACAACCCUCUAGUUCUGCUCAGAUUUUUUUUUCAGCUCUGCCUCCUGCAAAGAUAGUCCAUCUCAUCCAGCCAGUUCUGAGGAAGUAUGUGAGUCAUGUCCCUUUUUCUGAUGAAAACUUCCAGUAUUGACUACUAGAAGUUUUCUAGAUCAACAACUAUCAAGCCUUUGGAAAUAUAACUAAUAUGUACCAAUAUGUAAAAAAUAAUUUCUAUUUUUUUAAUGAAAUAGUUUCCUAAGGCCCAAAUGUAACUUUCAAAAUGAUAUGUGUGGCACAAAUUCUCUCUACUACCGGGGCGACGAAGGGAGCACAGUGCACAGGCUGGAGGUCAGAGCCUCCCUGGACAUAGUUUGGCCCCAAAAAGAAUCAGGGAAGAAGAAACUUGACAAAGAGCCUCAUAGAUGUUUCCUAAAGCAGAGACCCUCUGAAGGUGAUGCAUGACUAUUAGAGAAUCUGUGCUAUAAGGAGCUUCUUGGUUUCCAUUUCUGUCACAUGAGGAAAAGUAAAAGCUAACAAAAUCGCUCAUACAAACAAAUCUGUGUCACAGGCAUACAGUCCUGCUAACAUUUUUCUGUUAAAAGUAGGAACAAAUGUAAGCUUUCUGGCAUAUAUUUUAUGUUUUGUUUAAAACACUGCACAUUUUAUUUUAUCUUUAAAUACAUAUAUGCAUAUAUAUAUUUAAAACAUACACAUGGACAUAAUAACUAUUUGUAACUAUAUACCUAUUUGUAAAAAUAUUAUCAUUGGAAUUCUUUCCCUUUAAUAAAACAAACGUAACUAAGCAUAAGCCUCCAUAAAGUGCUUAUAUCCAGGGAUGUUGUAGGAAACUGUCUCUCCUGGGGAAUAGGAGGAGCUUUGAUUUGCAGCAUUUGCCAAUUUCUGCAUUGUAAACACUCCGUCUAUGGCCUGUUUCAAACUACCAAUGAUUUAGUGCCUGGCUCACAAAAUUCCUGAAUAUUUAACAAGCGGCUCUUGUGAGGGCAGGAGCCCGUGGCAGGUUACCACCACCAUGCUCCUUCAGCACCGCAGCAAACUUGUGGGAGGUGCUUGGGAAGCCCACCGACUAACCUUUCCUUUUAGACUGACAAUCACUCUGCAAGGUCUUAAGUCAAGAUAUUUUCAUUUUAGUUUUGUAGAUUAGAAUACAAC
rnacentral:lncRNA from 10 species